AGCUCUUCCUGCCCAGCCGUUCACUUUCCUCAGAGGAAUAGGAGUUGGAUUUGUCGAAUCUGAUGACAACAACAUCACGAUAUAAUAAAUAGUCCCGGACCUCCUGAAUGAGGCUCAAGUCGCACCGAGAGAGGAUCUUGAGGACAAAAGCAAAAGAAGAACACAGGUGGAUCUGUCAGACAGAUUUUCAGAGAAGACGUUGAGGAGCUGAACGCGCACAACCCGACGACGAGCAGCAGCCCGGCGGCCUUCAUCUUACAGACGUGAGUCGUUC